rnacentral:lncRNA from 1 species
UUUUGCAUCCCGUUUAUCAUUCAACACAAUCUGUUUCACAGAAUUUUCAGUUAACUUAAUGCUAUGAUCUAAUUCAUCGGCACUUUCUUCAGUUUGCUCGGGAGUAGAAUCUGAAUUAUAAUCCACGGUAUUUUUGUUACACAUCACACAUUGCAUAGUUGUUUUUGCUACUUCUAAAGAAUCACCUCCUGUUGCUAAACCUAAUAAAUGAUUACCCGAAUUCUCGUCACUAUCCACACUAUCUUUGUGUGGCAAUCGUAAAUGAUCAUUUUGACUAGUUUCAAUUUUGACGGCUAUUUUAUCUGCAUUAUCAAUGCCAGGCAAGAUUAAACUGUCAUUCACAUGUGGCCUUGCAUGAAGUUGUAUCCCUGAACUGUCAUCUUUUUGUAUUAUUUCCUGACAAGGAAGAAGAGUAUGGUUUUUCUGUAUUAGCUGUGAUUGGUUUUGCAUUGCUGACAAUUGUUUGGGUCUUACAAUACUUUUGAUAUCAGCCGAGGCAAUCCUUGCUUCAACUGAAUCUUGAUUCACUAGUCUUCUUAAAGGCCUCUUAAGAGGUAUUGAAAUUUCAGGUAAUAUUUUAGAAUCUAGACUAUCGAUGUCAUAGGCCCCAUCCAUUACCCAGUCUGGCUUUAAACCAUGAGCUGAGUGUGAGGCAGAUGUAUCGUUGGAAUUUGGAGAAUAGAAACUAACGGCUGACCCAGGAUUUGAGCUAUCAGAAUACUGACUUAAAUUUGACGUUGAAUCGUCCAUUUGAGAAAAGGACACAGUUCGUUCUGGUACUUGUAAUGUCACUGACCCAUAACAGUCAGACACAUCAAGUUUAUCUGGACGAGCUACUCCGCUGUGAUUGGGUGGAUCUACAGUGAUAAUGGGACUAAUCAAAGUCGUUGGACUGCUUGGCUGAGAGUUACUAGACCCUUUGUGAUGAGGCAAUUUAUCACGUAAUGAUCUUCUGUUUGAAGGACCACAGGAACUUGGCCUUUUACGUCUACGAGACGACCUCAAUGACCUUCUGUUGAAGGGUUGGGCACUCCCUGGGGUAACACAACCAGGAUGAAUGGACAGCAGAUUUGGGUUAUC